UACCGUUUGUAACCUGGAGGUUAAGAAUCGGUCACAGGUCACAAUCUAUUCGACGACACAUGGUUACAUUGGAAUAGACAUUUCAAUAAAGGGAUACUGAACGAGUUGACAGUGAAUUUGACUGUGAUUUUACAGUUUCUUUCAGAAAAGGUAACCGAUAUGAUACGUUAUUAAAAAGUUUUCUAGAACUCUUACCGUAGGACAACCCUGUGUACGUGAAUUCUGAAGAAGGCUAUGUCUAUAAAUGACUGCUACGUGAUGUAUGUGAUCUGUGGCCUAUGCAAGUGUAAUGGACAAGACUCUACUCAGCUCAUGAAAACAACAUCCGAACUGUCGGAAACAAGAACAUGUUAACGGUACUUCUACAAAAGACAAGGAAUCACCAGAAGGGGUUUAGUUGACAAUUUGGGUAAAGAUCUUUUAAGAUAAAUUCAACGAUGUUAAAUCGUUUUAACAAUUUAUUUCUAAAGACAGUGAAUAUUGAAUAGUUGUCAGAUCUAUAAAAUGUUUGUAAAGCUGUCAUUUAAAAUAUGGCAGAAAACAUUAAUAUAUAUUCUUUUUAACUAGAUACAACCUGUGAUCAUAUAAAGGAAAAAGACAUAAUUAAUGAUAAAUAACAAAAUUAGAAUUAUUACAUGAAAUUUUGAAGAUGAAUGGAAUGAGGAAGAUGAUAAAUAAUAUCAUUUAAAUUCUCCUUUUACAUAUUUUUUGUUUAAGAUUCAAAAUGUUAUAUCAUACGCCUCAGUCACGGUUAUGGCAUCCUUGAAAUAUUUAAAAAUUAUAUUAUAUUUCGAUGAUACACAUCACUUGUCCCUGAGUGAAAAUUGAAACGGUAAAUUACGCAGUGGACAACUAUGCGAGAAAGUGGAUGUAUUUCAUUCUGCAGUUAUUAUGCUUUUCCGGUGUGUUGCCACCUCCUCACUUUUGAGUCACAUUCAGUUCUCAUCACCACAAGACGAUUCUGGGCAGCACUCACAUGGAACACACCCUCCUCGCUUAAGGAACAUCAUACACAUGCUACGAGAAUGUGUUAAUCUUAUUACAUUAUUUUCUAAAAUUAAUUAAUUACAUUAAAAUGGCAUACUCGAUAAAUUGAACUUAUAUUAAACAUACAUUAAUGUAAGGCAAACUUACCGAGCUGGACUGCAACCAUUUCGCAUAACUUAAUAGAUCAACCAGAUGGAUGUAUUUGUUACGCACCAUAUUGACAAGCUACUGCGAACAGAUAAAUUUAUUAUUAUUGUACUAGUUUUGGUUUUCAUGGCUUACAUUUUGCAUUUAAUAAAACAAAAAUCCAUAUAAAUUUAAUCUAUAUUUAAAUUGGUACUAUUUAAGUAACACAUUUGUAUUAAUUUUGAAUGACAAAAAUAAACCUUUAUUGUAGAAUGAACAAAAUUCAACAAAAUUUAGGAAAUGCUGAUUGUAAACUUUAUGUAUUUGAGUACCACUCAUUAAACAUUGUUAGUUUUAUACAAAUAUACUUUGUUCUAAUUACUUUAAGAACUUGAAUCAAAUAUAUUAAUCUAAGUACAUUGAGAUAUUAAAUAAAAUACUUUUUUCUUUAUCAUUAGGCAUAAAUCAGGAUGGAGGGUGCAACCAAUAAGUCCAAGUAUUACCACCCAAUACAUGUUUUUAAGAUCUGAGCUAAUGGCUUUUAUUUUUAGUUAAAGGAUAUAAUUCCACAUGGAAUCCGUGGACAUUAUUACGAUAAUCUGCCUAGAAUUUGUGGUCACGUUUGAAAAUGCUGGUUCAUAUGAUGCCUAUCACGAUGAUGCUAAGAAUUGAUUAGCAUAAAUAUGGGUGAGUCUAAGGUCGUUAAAUCUGACAUGUCAAAUACACACAAAAAAUGACUGUUAACUGGCGUUCACUGAAACAUGACAACACAACGAAUCUGGAAAAUAGAUGGACGUGCAACGGCGGUAGCCAUCUUAGAAAUCACUAGCUCAUGCUACAUGUGCAAGAAACCUGCGAUUUUUAUACAAGAUGCGGUCUUGUUUCACGAUUAUAC